rnacentral:rRNA from 1 species
AGCUCUAAUAGCGUAUAUUAAAAUUGUUGCAGUUAAAACGCUCGUAGUUGAAUAUCUGUCUCCUAAUUGCUCGGUCCGCAAUGCGAGUACCAAGCAUUAGAGGCAUCCGUUUGCACAUUUGAUUUCAUCGGAUUUGCAAACCGUUCACUUUGAGGAAAUUAGAGUGUUCAAAGCAGGCGUUAGCCUUGAAUACUUCAGCAUGGAAUGAUCGAUAGGACUUCCGUCCUAUCCGUUGGUUCUAGGGGCGCGAAGUAAUGAUAAAUAGGGUCGGUCGGGGGCAUUCGUAUUGAACAGUCAGAGGUGAAAUUCUUAGAUUUGUUCAAGACGAACAACUGCGAAAGCAUUUGCCAAGGACGACCCCA